rnacentral:miRNA from 53 species
UGGAAUGUAAGGAAGUGUGUGG